GGAAUAUGAGAGCUGAAUAACUAAAAUAAUGAAAGUUCCUCUUUGACUGGCCGAUAGCAAUAUUGGCCAUUUUUUU
rnacentral:sRNA from 1 species